CUCAUUCCUGUAGCGCUCUAUAAUGAAAGGUUUUAACAUCCGCAACUGAGCAAACUUCAUGUGUGUGGGGUUAAAAGCUUCAAAACAUGAGUCCUGGAUGUGUUGUUUCAUCCGCAGCGGCUGCAGCAGUCGGCAAACAAAGCACCAUCUGUUGCAGGGGCCGAGCCUCAGCGCAGCACCCACGGGCCUGACAGAGGUAGGGUACGGGAAUGCAGAGAGUGGGCUGGUCACACUGCUUGUGCCCUCAUGUCCAGAAGAGUCUUGGAUUUGUUCCUGGGGCUGGAAGUUUGAGGCUGAGCGCAGGGGAAACAAUAGCGGCCAUUGCAAGAGAGCUGUGGGACACAAACACGGGAGAUAUCCUUGAACCCCGGCAGGAAUGUCAAUCUAGACCAAAGACGCCCACUCAGAGAGGCAGCUGAAUAUAUCUGCUUCUGGAGAGAGGGAGAGAAAGAAAGCCUUCCUCUGUCCUAUCACAUGUGCAGAAACUGAACGUUUUGGCUUUUACAGUAAUUAGUUAAAACAUUUUGACUUCUGAAACCUCUGUGAGAAUAAGUUUGAUGCUGUCACAUUUUUAUCUACUGUACAGCGAGCAUUACAGGUCACUUGAGUUAAAAGUAGUCAGAUGAGUCUAGAUUGUUUCCCAAAGACACAAUCCAAUGGAACCUGGUGUUCAGUUGUAUUGUCUGAAGCCAUCUUGACUCCUAUUUUUUUUUAAAAUGACUUCUAUACAUCCAUCUGUCUGUCUUGUACUCAGAGUAACAGCUACCAAAAGCAGUGAAACCAUUUGUGAAAGUGUUAAAUGCGUCAAAUGUGUUCUUCAGUAAGAAUAUAUCAGUCUGACCCUGAAAGCUGCUGUUACACAACAGAGGAUUUGGUUUUUUUCAUUCACUGACGUUUUUAUGAAAGCUGUAAAGCCUUGACGUCUGCAGAUAUCCGACUGUAUUUACAUAAGUUGAUUGAAGUAUCAAAUAGCUUUGUUCUGCUUAUUUUUUCUCAAAUCCAGCAGGGAUGAUAACCGCUCAAGGUAAAAUAGGAAUACGUGAUUCUGUCUGUAAUCAGGGACCAAUAAUUGGCUUUGAGAGUGAAAAGCCUUUGCGUUGUUGUGUGUCUUUGUCACCCUGGGUGACCUCUUCAUGUCUUCAUGCUGCAGUCCCUGCCGCCUAUAACGCAGAUGACAACAUAGCUAUGAUGCUCAGCAGCUGAUGUAACCAUUCAGUGGAUGCUCGGGCCAAGAUAAGUCUCUACACUUUCUCCUUUUGAUGAAAACAUGUAAUUGUGUCUAACUUUACAUUUUGUAUUCGAUAAAUAACUAACCAUGGUCUUAAAAGCUAACAGAACUUGGCGUACUGCUGAUUUUCUGACACAUUUUAACGUUGCAUUGUCUCUGAAAAUUCCUAUUGUUUGAACUAAUAGGAUCAGCCGUAAGAUGUGAAUGGUUUAUUUUCCCACACUGCGUCCUCACAGUGCUCCUUUUGGCCGGUAAACAACUCAAUGCAAAUGUCUUGGUGGUCGAAAGCCAACAAUUUCAUCAACAUUUGGCAGGAGCUGCCGCCAGGGCUCGAGCAUAAUGCUAUCAUUUGUUUAGCAUCUCAACAAUAUCAUGCUCUCUUGUUUCAAACGGAGGCCCGGAGGAUAUUUUUGAGCCACUGCUUCUGUAAAUAAAGGAUUGACGCAACAGGAGACUUUUUCUGAUUUUACAGUAAAUGUCAGAAGAGAAAAGAAGCUACACACUGAUGAUCUUUAAUAAUUUUGCU